CCCCCGGUAGCUCAGUUGGUAGUAGCGCCUGUUUGAAGCACAGGAGGUCGUCAGUUCGAUUCUGACCUGGGGGG
rnacentral:tRNA from 2 species